AUCAUUUAAAGAAAGCGUAAUAGCUCACUGGUCGAGUCGGCCUGCGCGGAAGAUGUAACGGGGCUAAGUAGUAAACCGAAGCUGCGGCAAUGCACUUUGUGCAUUGGGUAGGGGAGCGUUCUGUAAGCGGUUGAAGGUGUGUGGUAACGCAGGGGCAGGGUAAGUCGACCCCUAAGGCGAGGCCGAAAGGCGUAGUCGAUGGGAAACGGGUUAAUAUUCCCGUACUUCUUACAAUUGCGAUGGGGGGACGGAGAAGGCUAGGUGGGCCUGGCGACGGUUGUCCAGGUUCAAGUGCG
rnacentral:rRNA from 1 species